rnacentral:rRNA from 1 species
CCUACGGGAGGCAGCAGUGGGGAAUAUUGCACAAUGGGGGAAACCCUGAUGCAGCGACGCCGCGUGAGUGAAGAAGUAUUUCGGUAUGUAAAGCUCUAUCAGCAGGGAAGAAAAUGACGGUACCUGAUUAAGAAGCCCCGGCUAACUACGUGCCAGCAGCCGCGGUAAUACGUAGGUGGCAAGCGUUAUCCGGAUUUACUGGGUGUAAGGGGAGCGUAGACGGCAGCACAAGUCUGGAGUGAAAUGCCGGGGCUUAACCCCGGAACUGCCUUUGAAACUGUGCAGCUAGAGUGCAGGAGAGGUAAGUGGAAUGUGUAGUGUAGCGGUGAAAUGCGUAGAUAUUAGGAGGAACACCAGUUGCGAAGGCGGCUUACUGGACUGUAACUGACGUUGAGGCUCGAAAGCGUGGGGAGCAAACAGGAUUAGAUACCCUUGUAGUC